AGAGUUUGAUCCUGGCUCAGGAUGAACGCUAGCUACAGGCUUAACACAUGCAAGUCGAGGGGAAACGACAUCGAAAGCUUGCUUUUGAUGGGCGUCGACCGGCGCACGGGUGAGUAACGCGUAUCCAACCUGCCCACCACUUGGGGAUAACCUUGCGAAAGUAAGACUAAUACCCAAUGAUAUCUCUAGAAGACAUCUGAAAGAGAUUAAAGAUUUAUCGGUGAUGGAUGGGGAUGCGUCUGAUUAGCUUGUUGGCGGGGUAACGGCCCACCAAGGCUACGAUCAGUAGGGGUUCUGAGAGGAAGGUCCCCCACAUUGGAACUGAGACACGGUCCAAACUCCUACGGGAGGCAGCAGUGAGGAAUAUUGGUCAAUGGACGAGAGUCUGAACCAGCCAAGUAGCGUGCAGGAUGACGGCCCUAUGGGUUGUAAACUGCUUUUAUAAGGGAAUAAAGUGAGUCUCGUGAGGCUUUUUGCAUGUACCUUAUGAAUAAGGACCGGCUAAUUCCGUGCCAGCAGCCGCGGUAAUACGGAAGGUCCGGGCGUUAUCCGGAUUUAUUGGGUUUAAAGGGAGCGUAGGCCGGAGAUUAAGCGUGUUGUGAAAUGUAGACGCUCAACGUCUGCACUGCAGCGCGAACUGGUUUCCUUGAGUACGCACAAAGUGGGCGGAAUUCGUGGUGUAGCGGUGAAAUGCUUAGAUAUCACGAAGAACUCCGAUUGCGAAGGCAGCUCACUGGAGCGCAACUGACGCUGAAGCUCGAAAGUGCGGGUAUCGAACAGGAUUAGAUACCCUGGUAGUCCGCACGGUAAACGAUGGAUGCCCGCUGUUGGUCUGAAUAGGUCAGCGGCCAAGCGAAAGCAUUAAGCAUCCCACCUGGGGAGUACGCCGGCAACGGUGAAACUCAAAGGAAUUGACGGAAGGGCGAAUUC
rnacentral:rRNA from 1 species